GGCCAUCUCUGAUCCCAGGAGGGACCCAUCAGGGAGCAGUUGCUGAGGUUGCAAAAGGAACCAAAUCCAAUUUGUUGAUCUCAAAUGUAUAAUUCCCUCCUGGCAGUCUGACCCAAUCAAGAGGUGUAGAAGAAGACAGGACUAAAGCUCCCAGCACUGCAUCUGGGAGCGUCUUGGUGAGAACAGUGAGG
rnacentral:lncRNA from 1 species